CGGACCUUCAGGUCAGUGGCGGACGGCUGAGUAACGCGUAGGCAACCUGCCCAGUGGUGGGGGAUAACUCGCCGAAAGGUGAGCUAAUACCGCAUAAGUUUUCCGUUUGAAAUGGCGGUAAGGAAAGCAGCAACGCGCCACUGGAGGGGCCUGCGUCCUAUCAGGUUGUUGGUGGGGUAACGGCCUACCAAGCCGAUGACGGGUAGCUGGUCUGAGAGGACGACCAGCCAGAAGGGGACUGAGACACGGCCCCUACUCCUACGGGAGGCAGCAGCAAGGAAUCUUGGGCAAUGGGCGAAAGCCUGACCCAGCGACGCCGCGUGAGGGAUGAAGGCCUUCGGGUCGUAAACCUCUUUUAUGGGGGAAGAAGUUCUGACGGUACCCCAUGAAUAAGCCACGGCUAACUACGUGCCAGCAGCCGCGGUAAUACGUAGGUGGCAAGCGUUGUCCGGAUUUACUGGGCGUAAAGGGCUUGUAGGCGGUCCGUUAAGUCUGGUGUGAAAUCUCCCGGCUCAACUGGGAGGGGUCAUCGGAUACUGGCGGACUAGAGGUGGGUAGAGGAAAGCAGAAUUCCUGGUGUAGCGGUGAAAUGCGUAGAUAUCAGGAGGAAUACCAGUGGCGAAGGCGGCUUUCUGGGCCUAUCCUGACGCUGAGGAGCGAAAGCGUGGGGAGCAAACCGGAUUAGAUACCCGGGUAGUCCACGCCCUAAACGGUGGAUGCUAGGUGUGGGAGGUGUCGACCCCCCCCGUGCCGCAGCUAACGCUUUAAGCAUCCCGCCUGGGGAGUACGGCCGCAAGGCUAAAACUC
rnacentral:rRNA from 1 species